rnacentral:rRNA from 1 species
GAUGAACGCUGGCGGCGUGCCUAAUACAUGCAAGUCGAGCAAAUGGAUUAAGAGCUUGCUCUUAUGAAGUUAGCGGCGGACGGGUGAGUAACACGUGGUUAACCUGCCCAUAAGACUGGGAUAACUCCGGGAAACCGGGGCUAAUACCGGAUAACAUUUUGAACCGCUUGGUUCGAAAUUGAAAGGCAGCUUCGGCUGUCACUUAUGGAUUGACCCGCGUCGCAUUAGCUAGUUGGUGAGGUAACGGCUCACCAAGGCAACGAUGCGUAGCCGACCUGAGAGGGUGAUCGGCCAAACUGGGACUGAGAAACGGCCCAGACUCCUACGGGAGGCAGCAGUAGGGAAUCUUCCGCAAUGGACGAAAGUCUGACGGAGCAACGCCGCGUGAGUGAUGAAGGCUUUCGGGUCGUAAAACUCUGUUGUUAGGGAAGAACAAGUGCUAGUUGAAUAAGCUGGCACCUUGACGGUACCUACCCAGAAAGCCACGGCUAACUACGUGCCGGCCGCCGCGGUAA